GUCAUUGUUGAGAGUUGCUUCACAAGAACGAGCUCCAAUCUAUAUAAAUAUUAGAAAUAACUCACUUUCAGAUCUUUGCUCUUUCCUGAAAGCAAUUUCAGAAAUCAAAAAUGCAAAAAGCAUAAUAUCCUGUGAAAAGAAGGCUUUGGACAGGCUCUGAAGGCUGAGCGACAACUGAUAACCAAUAACUGUAGAAACCAGCCGAAGAAAAAAAUUCCGAUAUGAACUCAGUGUACACCAGGUGGAAAGACAUGAUAUUCCAACUAAAAGGAUGACUAAAGAAUACUCGGAUCAAUGACUAGAAACAUGUAGAUACAAUUUCACACCAGUUUUCUGUGAUUCCGAAGCUUACGUUACUCUCUUGAAAUUAAGACCCAUCCGUUU
rnacentral:misc_RNA from 1 species